rnacentral:pre_miRNA from 1 species
ACAAAAUUCGGACCGUCGGUCUACUGAGCAAAUUCCACUCGCUCGUUAGAAGAUCUUCCUUUUGUCAU